GGGAAUGUGGCUUAAUGGUAGAGUGUUUGCCUAGCAUGCAUGAAAACCUGGUUCGAUUCCUCAGUACCA
rnacentral:tRNA from 1 species